UGCCAUUGCAGUGAUUUACACCGGACCGCUCGGGUGUCAGCGCUGCUCGUGCACGUCCGCGUCAGUGCGCGCGCUCGCAGCAACAUAGAUUCAGGGCUGUGUUUCGCCUCAAGUCUAAGGAUGAGUCUAUAAAUGGACCUGCUAGAAAAAAUCCCUCCCAUCCCUCCUCUCUAAAGGAAAGCGAGCUCAAGGCUUCUCUUCAUUCUCGCAAGGAAAAGAAACGUUUCACAUCAGAACAUGUUGUUGACGCUUGUGUGACUUUAUGCCCUUUGUCAGUGGUCAGUUGGACACGGCAACCACACUAGACUAAACACACUGCCAGAUACAUCAGCUACUUGAAGGAGCCGCCGCCUCCAGACAUUCUGUCUAAAGUUAAUAAAGCAGAAGAGGAAAGUAUGAGGAAAAAUGUACAGAAACCACAGAAAAAAUGGUGACAAAAUCAGUUUUUCCUACAGAGGAACAUUGCGGCUAAAGAGGACCACCUCACAGAGAGCCAGCUGCUACAAUCAUGUCUCAAGAAGAUACACUCAUCAGAAGAACUCUUAACAAGUAUAUCAGCCAUCUCUCACAAUAACCAACCCGCCGACGAUGGAGCCGAUGCUUCCUCCAGCUGAUGGCCUGACCAGGGUGCAUGCCCUGCCGAUACCGCUGGACAAAUCAUCUCUUCCCCGGGGACAAAUGCUGCCAAUGUGCCAGGAUCAAUUUCUCUCUGCCUCGUUUCGGGCUGUGGAAAAUAACUGGAUGAAGCCAACCUCUACAUCCAUGAACGCAACUUUAUGUGCCUUUACAUCAGCAAUGACCAGUCACACUUUUUUACCAUAGGUGGGACUAGACCCAGCCUUUAGUCAUGUGUUAUUGGAUGCCCCUCCUGGCCUGGUGGACCCUGUUGCUCUCCAAUCAGUGAACUUUGGCCAAGCCCACAGACCUGAACAGAGUGCUGUAACAAAUUCAAUUAUACCUCCAGUAGAACAAAGUCAGAUUGAUGCACCUUUGGUUGGCCCAACUGACAAUGUUUCAGUGGUAGAUUUUUACAAAUCAACCAAUAAUUUCAUCGUCCUUUUAUCAAGGUGCAACUACAAGUACUGAUGACCUCACACCUGAAAAUGUUAAUCAGCCAGUGUCAGACGCUCUGUGUGACUCAUGACUCCUCCAGGAGAGUGACCUCUAUAGUAGUAGCCCUCUGACAAACAGACCACAGGACGUGGUCAGUACCUUUUGGCUGGAUUUGCUGUUAGAUACCAACAGCAACUUGUGCUUCCCUGAUGCUAAUCUUGUAAACAUUGUUAUUUCACCUUACGCAGGGAUAACCUAACUAUUUGUUAAGAAAUGCCGCUAAUUAUUUGCUAGAUAUCUACUUUAUUUUUACAGUUGCGAUUAGCCAAUCAUCACAAAGCAUAUCAGAGAAACAGAUCUACUGGUAUUGUUUGAAGAGAUCUGUUAUGGCUUUGUGGUUGCCUACAAUGCAUAUGUCAAAGCUCUACAGGAAGUUGGUAGUUAUUUUUUGACAGCAUUUCUGUCACAUGUUGUUGAGCUAGAAUUACAUUGAUGUGAUUUGCUUGAGGGCAGUGUACAUACAGUAGGUUGGCAUGCAGUACAUGUCUAUAUGCUGUAGUUAUAGUGUAAAAUAUUGUAGGACAUUGAAAUGUCUUCUUUGUUAGUCAACAACUGAGUUAUGUGUGCAGCACAGCACACAUAACACUCAAUAAAUGUAUUGCUGUGUUUGAUCAAAAGUGCUUGCAGUUUUUUAUUUUUGUUGUCAAAAACUUACAGGUGGCAUUUCCAUUCAUAUUAAAUACAUCUCUAGUUCUUUUAACAAAGAAUUAUAGUAGGUUUGUCUCUUUAAUUUCUCAGGUAAAUAAGCAGAACAGUCACAUUCUAUUGUAUUUUCCAUGAGUCUAUUUUAAAAAUAGC